rnacentral:rRNA from 1 species
GACGAACGCUGGCGGCGUGCUUAACACAUGCAAGUCGAGCGGAAAGGCCCCUUCGGGGGUACUCGAGCGGCGAACGGGUGAGUAACACGUGAGCAACCUGCCCCUGACACUGGGAUAAGCCUGGGAAACCGGGUCUAAUACCGGAUAUGACCUGCCUCCGCAUGGGGGUGGGUGGAAAGGUUGGCCCGUUUGGGUCUUCCGGUCAGGGAUGGGCUCGCGGCCUAUCAGCUUGUUGGUGGGGUAACGGCCUACCAAGGCGACGACGGGUAGCCGGCCUGAGAGGGCGACCGGCCACACUGGGACUGAGACACGGCCCAGACUCCUACGGGAGGCAGCAGUGGGGAAUCUUGGACAAUGGGCGAAAGCCUGAUCCAGCCAUGCCGCGUGAGUGACGAAAGUCUUCGGAUUGUAAAGCUCUUUUGGCGGGGAAGAUAAUGACGGUACCCGCAGAAUAAGCCCCGGCUAACUUCGUG